rnacentral:tRNA from 1 species
GCGUCAGUGGUUCAGUGGUAGAGUUCUUGCCUUCCAUGCAGGACACCUGGGUUCAAUUCCCAGCCAGUGUA